UACGUAGGGGGCAAGCGUUGUCCGGAUUUACUGGGCGUAAAGAGCGCGUAGGCGGAAAUUUAAGCGUGGCCUGAAAGCCCCCGGGCUCAACCGGGGAGUGCGGCUGCGAACUGGGUUUCUUGAGGACGAUAGAGGAGAGUGGAAUUCCUGGUGUAGCGGUGAAAUGCGUAGAUAUCAGGAGGAACACCCGAGGCGAAGGCGGCUCUCUGGACCAGCACUGACACUGGAGGCACGGAAAGCGUGGGGAGCAAACAGG
rnacentral:rRNA from 1 species